CCUUCCUUAGCCCCGCGGCACCGCCAACUGGACUUUUAAUGGCUCCGUCGGCGGUACUGACCGGAGCUGCCAGGGUCCGGUGCUGACCAGGCGUUCCGGAUGAAAACCAGAUGCCUGGUAACCCUACUCCUCAAAAAUGCACAAGAGUAAAGACAGAAGGCCCACAAGACCAUCCCUUCACCCUGUUCAUCAUGUGGACUUGACAGAAGCAUUGAAAUUUGAGAAGGAAAAGAUCUCUUAGGACCACUUUCACUGAAACAUACAUCAUUCAUCCAGUCGGAUAAAGGGAAGGCAUGU